rnacentral:rRNA from 1 species
UACGAAGGGGGCUAGCGUUGUUCGGAAUUACUGGGCGUAGAGCGCGCGCAGGCGGUUUCUCAAGUCAGUGGUGAAAGCCCGGAGCUCAACUCCGGAACUGCCAUUGAAACUGUGAAACUUGAGGACGAGAGAGGUGAGUGGAAUUCCCAGUGUAGAGGUGAAAUUCGUAGAUAUUGGGAAGAACACCGGUGGCGAAGGCGGCUCACUGGCCCGGUACUGACGCUGAGGUGCGAAAGCGUGGGGAGCAAACAGG